rnacentral:rRNA from 1 species
UACGUAGGGGGCAGGCGUUAUCCGGAUUUACUGGGUGUAAAGGGAGCGUAGACGGCGAGACAAGUCUGAAGUGAAAUGCCAGUGCUCAACACUGGAACUGCUUUGGAAACUGCCUGGCUGGAGUGCGGGAGAGGUAAGUGGAAUUCCUAGUGUAGCGGUGAAAUGCGUAGAUAUUAGGAGGAACACCAGUGGCGAAGGCGGCUUACUGGACCGUAACUGACGUUGAGGCUCGAAGGCGUGGGGAGCAAACAGG